rnacentral:rRNA from 1 species
CCUACGGGUGGCAGCAGUGAGGAAUAUUGGUCAAUGGCCGCAGGGCUGAACCAGCCAAGUCGCGUGAGGGAUGACGGUCCUAUGGAUUGUAAACCUCUUUUGCCAGGGAGCAAAGGGCGCCACGUGUGGCGCUUUGCGAGUACCUGAAGAAAAAGCAUCGGCUAACUCCGUGCCAGCAGCCGCGGUAAUACGGAGGAGGCGAGCGUUAUCCGGAUUUUUGGGGUUUAAGGGGCGUGCAGGGGGAAUGUAAAGUCAGCGGUAAAAUUUCGGGGCUCAACCCCGUAGUGCCGUUGAAACUGGCGUUCUGGAGUGAGCGAGAAGUAAGCGGAAUGCGUGGUGUAGCGGUGAAAUGCAUAGAUAUCACGCAGAAC